GACGUAGGGCGCGAGCGUUGUCCGGAUUUAUUGGGCGUAAAGAGCUCGUAGGCGGCUUGUCGCGUCGACUGUGAAAACCCGCGGCUCAACUGCGGGCCUGCAGCCGAUACGGGCAGGCUAGAGUUCGGUAGGGGGAGACUGGAAUUCCUGGUGUAGCGGUGAAAUGCGCAGAUAUCAGGAGGAACACCAAUGGCGAAGGCAGCACUCUGGGACGUGACUGACGCUGAGACGCGAAAGCGUGGGGGAGCAAACAGG
rnacentral:rRNA from 1 species